CUGAAAGUCGAUGACUCUCUCAAGCGCCUAUUGCGAUGACUUCCAUCAUUACUUUACAUCCCAAAACAACGUCUACUUCACAUCUCAAGCUUCGCUCUAUAAAUAAGAAUCUGAUUCCUCUCUUCUCACCAACUUCGCAUACACGGCCAUGAACGAAUUCGAAGUUGAUUUUUAAGUUCAUCAACUCCAAUGACGGAACACGGCAAGAUGAGGCCUUUCUUUAUAACUUUACAUUCUCUUCGGUCCCAGAGAAGCAGAAAUUUCAAUAUCGAUUUUAAUUUAUGAACUCGGGCUCAAAGGUAACGAAGUUGAAAUUAAUAUGAGAGGUUCAAGAGCAAUUUGUUUAUACAUCUCAUUUAUGUCGGAGGCGGCGAUUCUAGGGUUCCUGCAGAACAACGAAUCAAUCUCAGAUUCCGGUCAAUUCGCAGCAGAGCACAAUCUCGACCACGAAGAAGUCAAAAACGUCAUCAAGAGCUUACAAGGUUUCCGCUAUAUCGAAGCUAAGGAGACAUUGGUUUUGACUGAUGACGGGAAGAAAUAUGCGGCAGAAGGGUCGCCGGAGAUUCACUUUUUCUCGGCUAUUCCUGAGGAAGGUAGCAUAUCCAAGGAUGAUCUUGAGUUCGGCAGACAUGAAGGGAGGUUAAAAGAAUAUGCUGAGAUAAGAGACGGAGUAUAUUAUUAGUAUCCCUUACUAUAUAUAUUUUGUUUUAUACAUGAAUAUAUUUCAAGAGACCAUUUGGAAUCAGUUCGGCAGACAUGAAGGGAGGUUAAAAGAAGAUGCUGAGAUAAGAGACGGAGUAUAUUAUUAGUAUCCCUUUCUAUAUAUAUUUUGUUUAAUACAUGAAUAUAUUUCAAGAGACCAUUUGGAAUCAGGUUAAAAGGCAACGCAACUUUUCUUUUUCUUUUUGCUUUCUACAUGUGUUGUCCACUACUUAGGUAUACUAGACAAUAUACAAUGCGACAUUCUUAAAAAUUUAUA